ensembl:miRNA
UUGCUAAGUAGGCUGAGAUUGAUGUCAGGUUAUCCCCAAGCAUAACCUCACUCUCACCUUGCUCUGCAG